GUGGGGAAUAUUGGACAAUGGGCGCAAGCCUGAUCCAGCCAUGCCGCGUGAGUGAUGAAGGCCUUAGGGUUGUAAAGCUCUUUCGCCGACGAAGAUAAUGACGGUAGUCGGAGAAGAAGCCCCGGCUAACUUCGUGCCAGCAGCCGCGGUAAUACGAAGGGGGCUAGCGUUGUUCGGAAUCACUGGGCGUAAAGCGCACGUAGGCGGACAUUUAAGUCAGGGGUGAAAGCCUGGAGCUCAACUCCAGAACUGCCCUUGAUACUGGGUGUAUCGAGUCCGUAAGAGGUAAGUGGAACUGCGAGUGUAGAGGUGAAAUUCGUAGAUAUUCGCAAGAACACCAGUGGCGAAGGCGGCUGACUGGUCCAUUACUGACGCUGAGGUGCGAAAGCGUGGGGAGCAAACAGGAUUAGAAACCCGAGUAGUCC
rnacentral:rRNA from 1 species